rnacentral:rRNA from 1 species
GCAUACGAUCUAUGGAUGAAAGCGGGGAUCGCAAGACCUCGCGCGAUUGGAGCGGCCGAUAUCAGAUUAGGUAGUUGGUGAGGUAAAGGCUCACCAAGCCGACGAUCUGUAGCUGGUCUGAGAGGACGACCAGCCACACUGGGACUGAGACACGGCCCAGACUCCUACGGGAGGCAGCAGUGGGGAAUUUUGGACAAUGGGCGCAAGCCUGAUCCAGCAAUGCCGCGUGCAGGAUGAAGGCCUUCGGGUUGUAAACUGCUUUUGUACGGAACGAAACGGUGAGCUCUAAUACAGUUUGCUAAUGACGGUACCGUAAGAAUAAGCACCGGCUAACUACGUG